rnacentral:tRNA from 1 species
GGGCCUGUAGUUCAACGGUAGAACGUCGCCCUUGCAAGGCGGAGGUUUCGGGUUCAAAUCCCGACGGGUCCA